AGUAUCAUCUUCUACUAUAUCUCUAUCCUCUUCCUCACUUUAUCCAUCUACACCACCUUCUAUGCCUCUUAAAAGCCUCGAUCUAUUGCCAAAUUUGUCCUUGGCAUUAAAGUCAUAGUCUCUAAUGCUUCCUCUACAACUAUGCAUGUUAGAAUUUGAUUGCAUCAAAAUAAAUUUUAGCAAAUUAUGGAGAACAAAACAAAUUUUAGCAAAUUAUAGAGAGCACUCUUUUUUUUUUUUCUUUAUGUAUAAAAAUCUUU
rnacentral:lncRNA from 1 species